rnacentral:rRNA from 1 species
AUGCUAGCAGCAAGGAGGCAAUGGUGGUGGUCAGCCGCAGGAGAUGAUCGACAGCUUGAGCGGAGGCAGACCGACAAGGCGCUGGCUGGGCCUUGCAGCAGACGCAAACCACGCAUGUGGCUGCACAAGCGGUCGGUCAACGCUGGAGGCCAGCGAGGCAGAGGUGGUCAAACGGGCUACCGGAGAGCAGUUGCAGGGGCAUGGCGGCGCAUGGUGGUGGCUGCGAGCUCCUGCGUAGGGUAA